rnacentral:rRNA from 1 species
AGUGAACGCUGGCGGUAGGCCUAACACAUGCAAGUCGAACGGCAGCACAGUAAGAGCUUGCUCUUACGGGUGGCGAGUGGCGGACGGGUGAGGAAUACAUCGGAAUCUACUUUUUCGUGGGGGAUAACGUAGGGAAACUUACGCUAAUACCGCAUACGACCUACGGGUGAAAGCAGGGGAUCUUCGGACCUUGCGCGAUUGAAUGAGCCGAUGUCGGAUUAGCUAGUUGGCGGGUAAAGGCCCACCAAGGCGACGAUCCGUAGCUGGUCUGAGAGGAUGAUCAGCCACACUGGAACUGAGACACGGUCCAGACUCCUACGGGAGGCAGCAGCGGGGAAUAUUGGACAAUGGGCGCAAGCCUGAUCCAGCCAUACCGCGUGGGUGAAGAAGGCCUUCGGGUUGUAAAGCCCUUUUGUUGGGAAAGAAAAGCAGCAGGUUAAUACCCCGCUGUUCUGACGGUACCCAAAGAAUAAGCACCGGCUAACUUCGUG